UUCCCAUUUCCUUCGGGGAAGUAAGACCCCUCAGAGAUGAUGAGGUAGAUAGGAUGGAAGUGGAAGUGCCGUGAGGCAUGGAGCGGACCAUUACUAAUCGGUCGAGGACUUAACCAAG
rnacentral:rRNA from 1 species